rnacentral:rRNA from 1 species
CUACGGGUUGCUGCAGUAGGGAAUUUUGCGCAAUGGACGAAAGUCUGACGCAGCAACGCCGCGUGAGUGACGACGCCUUUAGGGGUGUAAAGCUCUGUCAGUAGGGACGAAUUUUGACGGUACCUACAGAGGAAGCAUCGGCUAACUACGUGCCAGCAGCCGCGGUAAGACGUAGGAUGCAAGCGUUGUCCGGAUUUAUUGGGCGUAAAGAGUUCGUAGGUGGCUUGUUAAGUCUGAUGUUAAAGCCCGAGGCUCAACCUCGGUUCGGCGUUGGAUACUGGCAAGCUAGAGUACGGUAGAGGCAAAGGGAAUUCCUAGUGUAGCGGUGAAAUGCGUAGAUAUUAGGAGGAACACCAGUGGCGAAAGCGCUUUGCUGGGCCGUAACUGACGCUGAGGAACGAAAGCCAGGGUAGCGAAUGGGAUUAGAUACCCGAGUAGUC